CUAAUACCGCAUAAGACCACAGCACCGCAUGGUGCAGGGGUAAAAACUCCGGUGGUACAGGAUGGACCCGCGUCUGAUUAGCUGGUUGGUGAGGUAACGGCUCACCAAGGCGACGAUCAGUAGCCGACCUGAGAGGGUGACCGGCCACAUUGGGACUGAGACACGGCCCAAACUCCUACGGGAGGCAGCAGUGGGGAAUAUUGCACAAUGGGGGAAACCCUGAUGCAGCGACGCCGCGUGAGCGAAGAAGUAUUUCGGUAUGUAAAGCUCUAUCAGCAGGGAAGAAAAUGACGGUACCUGACUAAGAAGCACCGGCUAAAUACGUGCCAGCAGCCGCGGUAAUACGUAUGGUGCAAGCGUUAUCCGGAUUUACUGGGUGUAAAGGGAGCGUAGACGGAUGGGCAAGUCUGAUCUGAAAACCCGGGGCUCAACCCCGGGACUGCAUUGG
rnacentral:rRNA from 1 species